CGUCUUUGUAACAUGUCCCCCAAGUUUUCUUCUUGUUCAAGAUACACUCUUGCCUUAGAAGACGGGAUAAGGAUGGAAGAAAACAACAGUUUGAGCACCUACCAUGUAACUGACUCAAGGCUCAUGAAUAAUGUAUAUCGUCCAAUUAAGUGCAAAUGCUGUUCAGUUCCUGCAAGUGGUAUGUGAUGCCAGCUCUGGCCUUAGAAUGGGCACUGAGGGUGGGGAUGGGAGAAG
rnacentral:lncRNA from 9 species